rnacentral:rRNA from 1 species
AAUAUUGGUCAUUGGAGGCAACUCUGAACCAGCCAAGCCGCGUGAAGGAUGACUGCACGACGGGAUGUAAACUUAUUUUUUAAGGGAAUAAAGAGAGCCACGGUGGGCUUUUUGCUUGUACCUUACGAAUAUGGAUUGUCUACCUCCGUGCCAGCAGCCGCGGUAAUACGGAGGAUCCACGCGUGAUCCGGAUUUAUUGGGUUUAAAGGUUGCGCAGGCGGAAUAUUAAGGCGGCGGUGAAAGUCUGCAGCUUAACUGUAAAAUUGCCGUUGAUACUGGUAUUCUUGAGUGUAUAUGAAGUAGGCGGAAUUUGUAGUGUAGCGGUGAAAUGCAUAGAUAUUACAAGGAACUCCGAUUGCGAGGGCAGCUUACUAAAAUACAACUGACGCUUAGGCACGAAGGCGUGGGGAUCAAACA